AAAAAAAAGAGUUGCCGUGGUCAUGGUAUCUCUUCACAGCAAUAGAAAUCCUAACCAGGACACUACUGUUUCUCUUUGUAUGUGUUUGGGAUUCUCUAUAAUUCAUUUUUGAAAGUGCUGGGCACAGUGACACAAACCUAUGGUCCAAAAUAUUCUGGGAGGAUGUUUCAGACUAGAAAUCUAAGAGUUGAGAAUGAAACCCUAGUCUCAUAAGAAAAAUAAAAAAUUUUAGAGGACAAUGAAAAGACCGAAACCAUUGCACCAGCAAUUCAAUUCUCCUGAUGUACAUGGUAAGUGUGUGAAAAGAUCAGUAGCUAACAGUAUCUGCCCAUAAGGAUGGGGGGAGGCCAGGUUUUGUGAUUUCUUCCUUACAACAGCCUGCUUCCUAGAACAGGGACCAUGUGGGGCAGAGGGGACCCUGCUCUGGAGCCUGCCAGCGUGGUAUAAAGACCAUCUCCACUAGAGUCGUUGGCACCAGCUGAAAAUACAGAUUCCGGAUUGCAUACUGGCAGCAGGGGCCUGAGAGUCUGCAUUUUAACAAGAUCCCAGCAGAGUCUGUGCCCGCUGACAGUUCAUCAUCACUGGCUGACGUGUGGCUGAAGAGUCAAGAGAAAGGCUGUGGAGGGAACCAUCCCUGGCUCGGGCCCUACAUCUAAAACCUUGGCUGCAUUUCCAGACAGAAGAGGAAGUGAUUCGACGGAGAGAUUAACUGCCAAGGUCUCCAUGACACACCGUAUCAAUCACAGGCUAAAUGUCAUAAUGAGAGCUGGGCAGGCUGUCAAGACAGGCUUCCAGAUUCCAGUUACAGCUUCAUACUUAAAGAUUUGGACCCGAGGAAUCCAAUGCCAGCUCCGAAGGCUUCUUGGCCCGUGUGAGCAUCCUUCUCAGGGGCACAGAAGCCAACCUGGGCUCCUUCACAAAGGGGACAAGUGGAUGACAUAACAGAGUGGAAGGAAGUAGUUGGACACUAAAGAACAAACAAUAAUUUGAUUAUUGGUGGCAAGGAAGAGACAUUAGGAAUAGUGGGGACCGUGGCACCCUAAAGAGCCGUUGGCCCCCCCUGACACGGGAUAGCGACCUGCCGUUCCAGGCCUUACUUAGGACAGCAGUCUGGCCCAACUUCUGUCAGGCCGUUCUAGUCCCCUGUGCUUCCUGGGAAACCAUGGGGAUUUCAGUCUGGAGAGGCCCCACAGCUGGCACAAUACCUUCAGGAAAAGAAAAGCCUGACAAAAGAACCAGCCGGGAUGGACAUUACCCAACGACGGAGGGGACUCGACUGUCAAGGGAGAUGAGGUCCAUGAUGCUGGUGACGCCUGACCCGGCCAGUUGUGGCUCCCGACCCCCCAAAGAGCUGGGCCUUUGCCUGCUCUUGAGACGUGUGAGAAUGCUGCAGGCAGUUUCCCAGCGUGACAGACUUUCAAGAAGCAUUUCCCACAGAGUGUCACCUCAGAAGGAGCCUGUCCAGAGAAGGGCUGCCGUGAGGUGAACAGCUCCUUGGCUCCGGGCUGCCAGCAGGAUGUGCUACGGAGACCCAGGCUCCAAGCAACAUGCCAGCUGACAGCGGAAAUGUCCGACUCUGUGAGCCACCACAAGCCUUUGCUUUUUGGAAGUGGGCUGUCUCAGGCGUUGGUUCCGGUGGUGCGAAGCUGAGCAGCACAUCCAUUUCCGUCUCCUCUCUUGCCAAUGCAGUCUCUCGGUUGUCCUCUACUGAUUUCUCCCUUCUCUCUGGGACAAUAAUGACAAAACAGCUUCCAGCCCCAGAUUCUGAACUCUGUCUACAGAAUCCCAAGAAUGUGCCCUGCUGAAACCUGAGCUCCAGGCCAAAGAGAAGGUUCUGUCCCAGCCUCUAGACAGCCCAGCCUAGGCAGCAGGGGCAGGCUGCCCACAUGCACAGGCCAGGACGACUGGGACUGGCCUCUGGAGCCACUAUUUUGGGUGUUGCUGACAGUGUAUGAGCAAGAAAUAGCAACAAGGGCUGAGUUGUCCAUCAGGAGACGAACCUCUGGGCAUUGGGGAGGAGAAGCACUCACCCUCCAGGAAUAGAGAAGAGAUGGCAAAUAUUCCUUAAGCCCCCCAGAAGAAGUCGGAGCUGGCUCUGCAGUCUUGGUGGGGACUCUGAAGAAUUCAAGGGGCCUUAUGAGUUAUAUAUGUGGCAGGAGGGUGUCAGGUGAGCUGGAUGGGAGACAUUGCAUGCCCGUGCAGCUGGGGCAGAGAGGCCAUCCAGUCCCAAGACAUGCCAGGAUCCAGUCUCUUUCAUGGCCCUUGUUACAGGCCAGGUAAGGUGAUAUGAACCCACAGCUGAUGCCCCAUGGACCCACAGAGCCACACCUGAAGGAUGACAGCUCUUAUGGUCUGAGUCUGAAAUAUCCCAUCCAGGCUCAUCUGUUUGAAUGUUUGGUCCCCAGCUGGUGGUGCUGUCUGGGGAGGUUUUUGAACCUUUGGGACAUGGAGAUGGGUUAUGGGAGACAGGCAUCUGCUCUACCUUCUUCUGAUUCCAGCCUGAGAUCUCUGCAUCUAGCCUGAUGUAGUCACUGCUCUGUUGCUGUGAAAAGACACCAUGACGAAGGCAGUUCUUAUAAAAGGAAGCAUUUAACUUGAGGCUUGCUUGCUUAUGGUUUUAGAGGGUUCGUCCAUGGUCAUCAGGGCAGGAAGCAGACAGGCAUGUGCUAGAACAGUAGCUGAGAGCUUUACAACCCGAUCUUCAGGCAGGAGGCAGAGAGAAAGAGACUAA